GCUCGGUUAGCUCAGGGGUAGAGCACCUGCUUCACACGCAGGGGGUCGCUGGUUCGAACCCAGCAUCGAGCACCA
rnacentral:tRNA from 2 species